CCUACGGGGGGCAGCAGUGGGGAAUAUUGGACAAUGGGCGAAAGCCUGAUCCAGCCAUGCCGCGUGUGUGAAGAAGGCCUUCGGGUUGUAAAGCACUUUCAGUGGGGAAGAAAGCCUUGGGGCUAAUACCCUCGAGGAAGGACAUCACCCACAGAAGAAGCACCGGCUAACUCCGUGCCAGCAGCCGCGGUAAUACGGAGGGUGCGAGCGUUAAUCGGAAUUACUGGGCGUAAAGCGCGCGUAGGCGGUCUGAUAAGCCGGUUGUGAAAGCCCCGGGCUCAACCUGGGAACGGCAUCCGGAACUGUCAGGCUAGAGUGCAGGAGAGGAAGGUAGAAUUCCCGGUGUAGCGGUGAAAUGCGUAGAGAUCGGGAGGAAUACCAGUGGCGAAGGCGGCCUUCUGGACUGACACUGACGCUGAGGUGCGAAAGCGUGGGUAGCAAACAGGAUUAGUACCCCAGUAU
rnacentral:rRNA from 1 species